CUACCGCAGGCUCGCCAACGGCGACCGCCACUACUGGCUGGGGCUGGAGCUGGGUGACCGCUGGGCCGACGAG
rnacentral:tRNA from 1 species